GACGAACCGAGCGAACGUUGUUCGGAAUCACUGGGCUUAAAGGGCGCGUAGGCGGUCUGUCGCGUCGGAUGUGAAAAUCCAGGGCUCAACCCUGGACCUGCAUUCGAUACGGGCAGACUAGAGUUCGGUAGGGGAGACUGGAAUUCCAGGUGUAGCGGUGAAAUGCGUAGAUAUCUGGAGGAACACCGGUGGCGAAGGCGGCAUCCUGGACCAACACUGACGCUGAGGAGCGAAAGCCAGGGGAGCAAACGGG
rnacentral:rRNA from 1 species